CGCUGGCGGCGUGCCUAAWACAUGCAAGUCGAGCGAAUGAUGAAGAAGCUUGCUUCUUCUGAUUUAGCGGCGGACGGGUGAGUAACACGUGGGCAACCUACCUAGUAGAUUGGGAUAACUCCGGGAAACCGGGGCUAAUACCGAAUAAUCCAUUUUGUCACAUGGCAAAAUGCUGAAAGGCGGUUUCGGCUGUCACUACUAGAUGGGCCCGCGGUGCAUUAGCUAGUUGGUGGGGUAACGGCCUACCAAGGCAACGAUGCAUAGCCGACCUGAGAGGGUGAUCGGCCACAUUGGGACUGAGACACGGCCCAAACUCCUACGGGAGGCAGCAGUAGGGAAUCUUCCACAAUGGACGAAAGUCUGAUGGAGCAACGCCGCGUGAGUGAUGAAGGUUUUCGGAUCGUAAAACUCUGUUGUAAGGGAAGAACAAGUACGUUAGUAACUGAACGUACCUUGACGGUACCUUAUUAGAAAGCCACGGCUAACUACGU
rnacentral:rRNA from 1 species